rnacentral:misc_RNA from 1 species
GGUGGUCCCAUGUUUUAUAGUAGAAGCAACCGUGUUGCGUGCUUUGGCGAUAUAUACGAUGCGGUCGAUUCUGGUUCUAGUUCUACUUCCGGUGCUAGUGAUGCAGCUGCUGUGGGAAAGCCUCUGCAUCCCUUCAAUUCUUCAUAUACCUUCAAUCCCUUAGGUAAAGUUCUCCCUCUGUUUUCUUUUUACAUUGAUUUGUAUGAUAAUUUCUUGUUAGAAAAGAGAGAAAAAGGAGAGAUGGUCUACGGUGCGGCAAUCCCUUACCUGUGUGAUUAUAGGAGAAAUGACACCAUCUGUGAAUGCGGGAGUCCCUUUCACAGCAGCUCAGUGGCAAGAGCUGGAGAGACAGACCAUCAUUUACAAGUACAUAAUGGCCUCUGUUCCUGUGCCUCCUGAGCUACUUACACCCAUCACAAAAACUCAAACAAACAUCCCUUCCUCACAAUCCCACGGUAAAUAUUACAUGUCAAUUUUGCAUCUUUCCCACUUCAUAUGGUAGGAUUUACACUUGUUUAUCAGUGUUAAAAGGUUCUUUAGAAUUGGGGAUUUCGAGCUGUAACUCGGAUCCGGAGCCAUGGAGAUGUAAAAGAACAGAUGGAAAGAAAUGGAGGUGCUCUAGAGAUGUGGCUCCAGACCAGAAGUAUUGUGAGAGGCACUCUCAUAAGAGCCGUCCCCGUUCAAGAAAGCCUGUGGAAUUACACGCCGACUCCAUGGCCAACAGUAGCUAUAUUACUAAUACUCGCUUGCCUAAUCAAAAAUCAAACUUUUCCAGUCACACAAACUCUCAUUUAUCUAUCUUUCCUACUGCCAUGGUCUCCGCUGCCACCUCAUAUGAUCAACCCAGGUCAGUAAGUUGGUACCGUUUCAGUAUCCUUUUUAUCAACACUGAAAUUCUUUUAUGGUUGAUUUUCAUUUCUAGUCAUUAUAAUUGACUGGUUAUGAACAUCAGUAGUCAAGUGGGUAUCUUUUGUCUCUUGUGUGACAUGAUAUGAUAUGUCAAUUAAUGCUGCAUAUGCCUUGUCGUGAAGGAGCUUGGAAUGGUUCUUGAAGGGUGAGACGGUUCCUGUUGCUAGUAAUUCCAAUCAACAGUGGCGUCAUCUGAAGGGAGACAGCAGCAAGGGCGAUGAGAAAGUAUAUCAUUUUCAACACCAUUAUAGAGGAGGACAGCUGGACUCAAAUUCAUAUAUGGAUUUAAAAGGUAGCCACUCAUUGCAAACUCAUCGCCUAAAUGAUAGUUGCAGCUUGUUAUUAAGCGCCAAAUCAGCAACCUCCUUAGAAGCAACUCUAAAUCCCAACAACCAGACACAAGCGCAAGAGACAAGGCACUUCCUAGAUACUUGGUCAUCGGCACUGGGAGAGAUCACCGCUGGAAUUGGCAACGAUUGUUGUGUUUCUUCAAACGAGAAGCUACUGCCACUCUCGUCUCUGACCUUGUCGAUGUGUGGAAGAACCGAAACUAUUGAAGAAAACGAAAAUGCACAAGGGGGAAGUUUUGGGAUCAUGGGAUCGGACAAAGAUGGUGUGGGUGUCCAGAGACCCCAGUGGAUGACCCAUGGUUCAUGGAUGGGUUCAUCAGGUGGACCAUUAGCUGAAGCCUUGUGCCUUGGCAUUUCAAAUAGUGCAAAAGCUGAUUCGAAGUUGGCAUCUUCUCAUGGCAGCAGCUACGGCACCAAUGCCGGUAUGAACAGCACAAGCUAACUAUGGUUUUUAAUUGUAUUGAAUUAGAUAGGCCUAAGCUACUGUACCUCUAUAUGAUUAAGUUACUAGAUCUAGAGCUAAGCCAGCAGUGGUACUUAGUUGGGCAGUCUAGCCCACUCCCAUGUAUUUUGUGUCCCCUUUGUCUUUUAGAAUACAAUGGUUGAGCCAGGAGAGGAGCAGUACAUUGCCUGGAUUGGUCCCUGGUGUUUUUAGUUCCCCCUUCUAAUGUGUAGGUUCUUUUUGUUACAGAAGGUAUGUACAAGGGCUAGAAGUUAAUGGAAAUUUUUAACAGAAAAU